AAAAUGGAGAGUUUGAUCCUGGCUCAGGAUGAACGCUGGCGGUCUGCUUAACACAUGCAAGUCGAACGGGAAUCUUAGGAUUCUAGUGGCGGACGGGUGAGUAACGCGUGAGAAUCUGCCUUCAGGACGGGGAUAACAGGAGGAAACUGCUGCUAAAACCGGAUAUGCCGAGAGGUGAAAGUAUUAAUAGCCUGAAGAGGAGCUCGCGUCUGAUUAGCUAGUUGGUAGGGUAAAAGCUUACCAAGGCGACAAUCAGUAGCUGGUCUGAGAGGACGAUCAGCCACACUGGGACUGAGACACGGCCCAGACUCCUACGGGAGGCAGCAGUGGGGAAUUUUCCGCAAUGGGCGAAAGCCUGACGGAGCAAGACCGCGUGGGGGAGGAAGGUUCUUGGAUUGUAAACCCCUUUUCUCAGGGAAGAAAAAAAUGACGGUACCUGAGGAAUAAGCAUCGGCUAACUCCGUGCCAGCAGCCGCGGUAAUACGGAGGAUGCAAGCGUUAUCCGGAAUAAUUGGGCGUAAAGCGUCCGUAGGUGGUCAUUCAAGUCUGCCGUUAAAGAGUGGGGCUUAACCCCACAAAGGCGGUGGAAACUGAAAGACUAGAGUGCAGUAGGGGUAGAGGGAAUUCCCGGUGUAGCGGUGAAAUGCGUAGAGAUCGGGAAGAACACCGGUGGCGAAAGCGCUCUGCUGGACUGCAACUGACACUGAGGGACGAAAGCUAGGGGAGCGAAUGGGAUUAGAUACCCCAGUAGUCCUAGCCGUAAACGAUGGAUACUAGGUGUGGCCUGUAUCGACCCGGGCCGCGCCGGAGCUAACGCGUUAAGUAUCCCGCCUGGGGAGUACGCACGCAAGUGUGAAACUCAAAGGAAUUGACGGGGGCCCGCACAAGCGGUGGAGUAUGUGGUUUAAUUCGAUGCAACGCGAAGAACCUUACCAGGACUUGACAUGUCGCGAAUCCGCUUGAAAGAGAGGAGUGCCUUAGGGAGCGCGAACACAGGUGGUGCAUGGCUGUCGUCAGCUCGUGUCGUGAGAUGUUGGGUUAAGUCCCGCAACGAGCGCAACCCUCGUUUUUAGUUGCCAUCAUUAAGUUGGGCACUCUAGAGAGACUGCCGGUGACAAACCGGAGGAAGGUGGGGAUGACGUCAAGUCAGCAUGCCCCUUACGUCCUGGGCUACACACGUACUACAAUGCUACGGACAAAGGGCAGCAAGUUAGCAAUGACAAGCAAAUCCCAUAAACCGUGGCUCAGUUCAGAUCGCAGGCUGCAACUCGCCUGCGUGAAGGCGGAAUCGCUAGUAAUCGCCGGUCAGCAUACGGCGGUGAAUCCGUUCCCGGGCCUUGUACACACCGCCCGUCACACCAUGGGAGUUGGCCACGCCCGAAGUCGUUACCCUAACCUGUUCGCAGGAGGGGGAUGCCGAAGGCAGGGCUGAUGACUGGGGUGAAGUCGUAACAAGGUAGCCGUACCGGAAGGUGUGGCUGGAUCACCUCCUUUUAAG
rnacentral:rRNA from 1 species